GAGGAUUCAUUAGUGUUUGAGGUUGGCAGUAUUUCAUUUCCUCCAUCAUUACUUCAGGGAUGCGAAGGCCUUCUAGAAACUGUUGCAAUGGCUGGCUGUGGCCUUAGUUAAAGGCCCUGCUCUUACUCAGAAAAAAUCUUUUCCAACACCCCAAAUGUUAAACAGUGCCAACAUCAGGCCAGCAGACCUCUGCAGUCAUUAAAGUAAGGUUUAAAUGAGAUCCUACUUUACAGUAGCAACUCUGAGCCACUCCCAAGAAAGUUGCCACAAAGCAUGCAUCUGCAUUCACCCCUUUUCUUUGUGCAUCAAGUCCCAGAACAAGGUGAUGCAGCAGCCUCAGAGCAGCCUUGAGUCUGUAAGCAUAUGUAAGCAAAGAGUCUAUGGAUGGUGCUCAGCGCAUGCUCUAGGCCACUCUAAUGCCUCAUUUUAGAGAGUUGGCAUGUGUGGAGCAAAUGGACAGAGACAGCUACGCAGAAGUGCAGCUUAAAACAGCAUAGAGGAGAUGUCCUUAGUAUCUUAUCUAAUGUUAACUCCAUGUGCAAUGCAUUGUUGGUGCAUGCUUUCCCAUCUGAGUACAUAUGAAUCAUAGCCCUUUUAACAUGAAGGUAUUCUUGCACGUGUUCUGCCUCACAGCUGGAAAUAGUAAAAGGAAGUUGAAUCUGCAUCUUAUAUUCAGGCAGAUUUGGAGUUUGCAAAUCUUCAACAAUCUGUGUGCUAAAAAGCCCAUCGCAAUGUCUAUUGGCCAGCUUUCCUAGGGCAUGGUCAUUGUUUUCAUUAUAUAGUAAUUGCUUCCUGCAAGAGAAAUGGCUGUUUGCUUUUGUGCUGUGCCACACCAUUCCAUGCACUACCUCCAUUCUUCACUCUUUGCAGCAUGAAAACAUCUUCAGUUUUACUCCUGUCAUCAGACUAAAUGAUUGACCUGGCAAAUGUGUGUUGAUAAAAAGUAUCUACAGCUUUUUAAAAUAGCUGUUACCAGAGUUUCAAAACUCUUGCAGUAUUCUUAAUCAUAUUUACCCCUCCACAAUCUUACCGCUAAGGUCAGUCCUACUAGGCUAUCACUAUUUAAAGAAUCACAUGGAAUCUUGUUUUGGUAGAUACGUUGCUUCAUUGCCAAUUAUGGGGUAACCUCUAACUUCUGGAUCAGAUUCUAGGCUAUGAUUAGUGGCAAUUAGGGUUGGGUAAUUCACCGGUCAAAUAAAGUUUGGU